rnacentral:rRNA from 1 species
AGUCGAGGGGUAACAGGGAGGAGCUUGCUUUUCUGCUGACGACCGGCGAACGGGUGCGUAACGCGUAUAGAAUCUGCCUUGUACAGGAGGAUAGCCUUUAGAAAUGAAGAUUAAUACUCCAUAAAUUUAAGAGAUGGCAUCAUUUUUUAAUUAAAGAUUUAUCGGUACGAGAUGACUAUGCGUCCUAUUAGCUAGAUGGUAAGGUAACGGCUUACCAUGGCAACGAUAGGUAGGGGGUCUGAGAGGAUUAUCCCCCACACUGGUACUGAGACACGGACCAGACUCCUACGGGAGGCAGCAGUGAGGAAUAUUGGUCAAUGGAGGCAACUCUGAACCAGCCAUGCCGCGUGCAGGAAGACUGCCCUAUGGGUUGUAAACUGCUUUUAUACAGGAAGAAACUUGGUUACGUGUAACCAACUGACGGUACUGUAAGAAUAAGCACCGGCUAACUCCGUGCCAGCAGCCGCGGUAAUACGGAGGGUGCAAGCGUUAUCCGGAAUCAUUGGGUUUAAAGGGUCCGCAGGCGGUCAAUUAAGUCAGAGGUGAAAUCCCAUAGCUUAACUAUGGAACUGCCUUUGAUACUGGUUGACUUGAGUUAUACGGAAGUAGAUAGAAUAAGUAGUGUAGCGGUGAAAUGCAUAGAUAUUACUUAGAAUACCGAU